AGGUGCGAAAGCAGGUCAUAGUGAUCCGGUGGUUCUGAAUGGAAGGGCCAUCGCUCAACGGAUAAAAGGUACUCCGGGGAUAACAGGCUGAUACCGCCCAAGAGUUCAUAUCGACGGCGGUGUUUGGCACCUCGAUGUCGGCUCAUCACAUCCUGGGGCUGAAGUAGGUCCCAAGGGUAUGGCUGUUCGCCAUUUAAAGUGGUACGCGAGCUGGGUUUAGAACGUCGUGAGACAGUUCGGUCCCUAUCUGCCGUGGGCGCUGGAAGAUUGAGGGGGGCUGCUCCUAGUACGAGAGGACCGGAGUGGACGCAUCACUGGUGUUCGGGUUGUCAUGCCAAUGGCACUGCCCGGUAGCUAAAUGCGGAAAAGAUAAGUGCUGAAAGCAUCUAAGCACGAAACUUGCCCCGAGAUGAGUCUUCCCUGAGACUUUGAGUCUCCUGAAGGAACGUUAAAGACGAUGACGUUGAUAGGCCGGGUGUGUAAGCGCAGCGAUGCGUUGAGCUAACCGGUACUAAUGAACCGUGAGGCUUAACCUUACAACGCCGAAG
rnacentral:rRNA from 1 species